rnacentral:rRNA from 1 species
GGAAGUAAAAGUCGUAACAAGGUCUCCGUAGGUGAACCUGCGGAGGGAUCAUUACACAAAUAUGAAGGCGGGCUGGAACCUCUCGGGGUUACAGCCUUGCUGAAUUAUUCACCCUUGUCUUUUGCGUACUUCUUGUUUCCUUGGUGGGUUCGCCCACCACUAGGACAAACAUAAACCUUUUGUAAUUGCAAUCAGCGUCAGUAACAAAUUAAUAAUUACAACUUUCAACAACGGAUCUCUUGGUUCUGGCAUCGAUGAAGAACGCAGCGAAAUGCGAUAGGUAGUGUGAAUUGCAGAAUUCGGUGAAUCAUCGAAUCUUUGAACGCACAUUGCGCCCUUUGGUAUUCCAAAGGGCAUGCCUGUUCGAGCGUCAUUUGUACCCUCAAGCUUUGCUUGGUGUUGGGCGUCUUGUCUCUAGCUUUGCUGGAGACUCGCCUUAAAGUAAUUGGCAGCCGGCCUACUGGUUUCGGAGCGCAGCACAAGUCGCACUCUCUAUCAGCAAAGGUCUAGCAUCCAUUAAGCCUUUUUUUCAACUNNNGACCUCGGAUCAGGUAGGGAUACCCG